rnacentral:pre_miRNA from 1 species
GCACGGGCCGUCCUCCCCAACAAUAUCCUGGUGCUGAGUGAUGACACACGCAACUCCAGCAUCAGUGAUUUUG